ensembl:lncRNA
GGUGAUUCAGGAAGAAAGUGGUUCCUUCCACCUGCAGUUGGAGACAUUAUAGAAAAAAGACAAUCUAAGUUGAGUUUUAAUCAAAAUAUGUGUUUUAAGAAGAAAGAUCCAAUGGGAGAAAAGCAAGGACCAUAAAGAAGGAGUAAAAACCAAGAGGACAGUUGCAGAGAAUGAAGAUGGCUUAGUUUAAUUUGGCCACAGAGGGUUGGCAAAGAGAUGCAGUUGAACAUUCUCAGUGGAUCCAAUUUGGAGAUGACAUGGGAGUUCAGGGGAAGGAAUUUGCAUGGUACAUGGUAGAUGACAUGAAGUUACUGAAGGCUCUUGGGAAGAAACUCAACAUGGGUCAACAUAGUUUAGGAACUUGAGAAUAGACUAGGUGAGAGAUGAACAAGGUUACAGAGGAAGAGUGAAGCCUUGAUUAACCUCAAUACCUCUAGCUGUGUGAAAGCUUGGCCAGUGUUAAUGACCAAGUAAAUGGGAAGGGUGAGACAAGAGUUGGGAAAUGGUCAUUGGAGAUUACAGUGGUGGGUGUCUGUUAAAGGGAUUUGGAGGCUGAGAAAGGGACAACGAAGCCAGAGAGAGGUUCAGCUUCCCACCUAGCAAACCGAGAGGAAGAGUGGUGCCAGGUGUUAGCACAGAUCUCUGCAGCGUCUGCAGGCAUCACCUGUGGCAGUCAGGAUGGGGUGAAGGAGCUGGAAAGUAGCACUGAGGUUUUAGCACUGGUAGCCUCCCUUUGUAGCCCAUAUCCUGAGGCAGAAGGUGACCCAGAAAAGAGUUUGAGAGAAACAUUUCAUCCUCUACUUUAGAAUCAUAGCUAUUUCCAUUUUGAUAAGCAGAAACCUAAGCCCUUCUAGAGAGGAAGCUAGAGUGAAAACAUCCUAAAAUAUUAUAGACUAAAUGGCUAAAGACAAAACUUUUUUUUUUUCCUUUCUAAGAUCUCAAUAAUUCAGAGAAAGAGCGAGGUUGUUUUUCCCUGUAACAGUUUUAUUAAGCAACAUUUCUCAGUCCUUUAAUCAUUUAUGUUUAUUGCAUACUUAUGGUUUAUCAACUCACCUAUUUCUCAGGCUCUUAACUCUCGAAGCAGUGUAAUGUUAGGAAAAUGUUUUAAGUUUUGCUAAAUACCAUGUUAACUCAUUUUGCAUAACUAACAAGAUUGAGAUUUCACUUAUAGAAAACUUUGUGGGAGGGUGGGUUGAGGGCAAGCUAUUUCCUAGUGUUUUCUUCCACGUAGUUUUAAAGUCGACUUGUUUGGAAGCUGAUUAAAAAUAUAACCCCAUCAUAAAUGAUUGUUCUAUAUAAUGCGCACUUCAAAAACAUUAAUGCUGAUCCACGGGUUUAGUAAAAGAAAUAUGGGAGUCCAUUGAGUCUAAAAAUGUCUCAAAAGAUAUAUUUUACACCCCACAUAUGGAUACUACCUUCCAGAAAUAUUGCAUGUGAAAGCAUAAUGCAAUAUUUAAUGCCUGGUGACUUAUGGUUCUGGCAAACCUCAAGUGUGGAAAUGCUGCAAAAUAAUUCAAAUCGCAUACUAAUUCACAGAAAUCCAUUUUUAGCUUCUUCCAAAGAAUACACUAAGCUUAAAGGUCAUCAUGUAACAUGUCUUAAAUUUAAAAAUAAACCAAAUAUUUUUUCUGGCACCUGACAUUGUUGAUAGUGGCAAUGAUAUCAGAGAAGGGAGCAGGGUCUUUUAUUUAUUUUAGCUGAGUUUAGAAUUGAAGCCAGAAUUAGUGUGAUUUUAUAAUGAACAAAUAAAGCUUUCCAUAGUCAGUAUGAACUUUCAGUAAUUCCCCUCGUGGCACAGUGGAAACGAAUCUGACUAGGAACUGUAAGGUUUCAGGUUCAAUCCCUGGCCUGGCUCAGUGGGUUAAGGAUCCACCAUUGCCUGAGCUGUGGUGUAGAUCACAGAUGCGGCUCAGAUCUGGCAUUGCUGUGUAAGUGGUACAGGCUGGCGGCUAUAGUUCUGAUUAGAUCCCUAGCCUGGGAACCUCCAUAUGCUGUGGGUGUGGCCCUAAAAAGACAGACAAAAAAACAAAUGAAUUUUCAGAUGGAAAUAUUAUUUAAAAACAAAGAUAAAAUUGGGAACUGACAGAUGCUCAUUUGAAAAGCACCUAUGUGCUUUCAUUUCUAUGCUCUAUAUUGUGUAUACAUAAUAGUCUAUCAUAUCUUCUAGCUAAGUAACCUGAGGUGGAUAACUUCUUUGAGCCUCUAUUUCCUUAUCUGUAAAAUGGAAGUGAAAAUAAUCACUUCCCUAAACUACUGGACAGAUGAAUUGAUAGGAUGUGUGUUGAGUGUCUAUCCCAGGGGCUGGCACUGGGGAAGGGUUUCCAUUUAUGCCUUCAUUUGGAAGUGCAGAGAAAACCUGAACUCUGGAGAGGCUGUCAUGUGUGUGUUCUUGCAGUGGUGGGAUCAGGGAUUGAACUCCAAACAAGAGGGACUGGGGAAGAAUAAGAACACGCACCAUAUCAAAGUAUCAAAUAUAAAGACAAGACCCCCAAAUGGAACUAUGUCUACUUAUAGGUGACACCAGAACUGUCAGAUGCCUGUAUCAAAUGACUAUGUAACAAGCUCUUGGACAUUUUAUAUAAGAUUGAUGGAUACAUAGCAAAAACCUUUUUUUUUUGUCCGCGGCAUAUGGAGGUUCCCAGGCUAGGGGUCUAAUCGGCGCUGUAGCCACUGGCCUAUGCCAGAGCCACAGCACUGCGGGAUCUGAGCUUCAUCUGUGACCCAUACCACAGCUCAGGCAAAGCCAGAUCCUUAACCCACUGAGCAAGGCAAGGGAAUGAACCCACAUCCUCAUGGUUCCUAGUAGGAUUCCUUAACCACUGCGCCAUGAUGGGAACUCUGCAAAAACCUUCUUUAGGAUUGUUUGAAAUAGUAGGCAAUUGACAGUGAGGUUGAUAUUCAGUGAUAAGAUUCAAAUGAAAAGGCAUGACUGUCGAUCGUGUAUCCGCCUCAGAGUACAGGUGUUCAAAGCAAAUUAGUCUGUCAAGGUAAGUUAGUGAAUGUAAGGCUUUUCUCACAAAGAGAAUAAUGAGAAAAUAAGCAUCUGAAUCCUGUAUGAUAUGCCAGCACUGUGCAAAGGCACUGCUUUUUUGUUGGAAUCAUUCAUGAUUCUGUUGGGUAGAUAAAGCUUUGAAAGCACUGUCCUACAGGUUCAAGGCUCAGUAGUCCUUCUCUCCAGUUUUUAUCAUGGCUGUGUUUAAGGAUCAAUACUUUUGUCUGAACAUAACUUGAUUGAAUCCUCAAGCAAGAAUGAAAGCGAUGCUAAUCAAUAAUAUGCUUGAGAUGCUCAUAGAAUAGUAUCAGAUAAUGUUCCAAGAAAAGCCCAGACCACAAAAUUUUCAGCAGAAUCUGAAAACUGAUUUUUUAAUCAAAGUAAAUUAAAAACUAUUCUGGUAUCAGACAUAGUGAUUCUGGAACAUACAAAUAUUAGCCACAUACUAAAUAAUAAGACUUCUGUUAGUAAUAACAGUAAUAGCAAUAAUCCCAAAACAGAAAAAAAAAA